rnacentral:rRNA from 1 species
CACGCCCUAAACGAUGUCAACUGGUUGUUGGGGGAGUGAAAUCCCUUAGUAACGAAGCUAACGCGUGAAGUUGACCGCCUGGGGAGUACGGUCGCAAGAUUAAAACUCAAAGGAAUUGACGGGGACCCGCACAAGCGGUGGAUGAUGUGGAUUAAUUCGAUGCAACGCGAAAAACCUUACCUACCCUUGACAUGUCCGGAAUCCUGCAGAGAUGCGGGAGUGCCCGAAAGGGAAUCGGAACACAGGUGCUGCAUGGCUGUCGUCAGCUCGUGUCGUGAGAUGUUGGGUUAAGUCCCGCAACGAGCGCAACCCUUAUCAUUAGUUGCUACGCAAGGGCACUCUAAUGAGACUGCCGGUGACAAACCGGAGGAAGGUGGGGAUGACGUCAAGUCCUCAUGGCCCUUAUGGGUAGGGCUUCACACGUCAUACAAUGGUCGGUACAGAGGGUUGCCAAGCCGCGAGGUGGAGCCAAUCCCAGAAAGCCGAUCGUAGUCCGGAUUGUUCUCUGCAACUCGAGAGCAUGAAGUCGGAAUCGCUAGUAAUCGCGGAUCAGCAUGUCGCGGUGAAUACGUUCCCGGGUCUUGUACACACCGCCCGUCACACCAUGGGAGUGGAAUCUGCCAGAAGUAGGUAGCCUAACCGCAAGGGGGGCGCUUACCACGGUGGGUUUCAUGACUGGGGUGAAGUCGUAA